rnacentral:rRNA from 1 species
AUGCGUCUUCUUGCUCCAACAUUCAAGUUCCAUUUCAAGGAAGAACGACGUACCAUGAUACUUUCUGUUUUGUCGAGCCCUGCUUUGGUCUCUGGUUUGAUGGUUGUAGGUGCUAAAAAUCUGGUACAUUCCGUUUUGUUUCCCAUCCUAGUCUUUUGCGACACUUCUAGUUUACUUAUUUUGUUAGGUCUCGACUUCUCCGCUAUGAUCUCCCCAGUAGUUCAUAUAGGAGCUAUUGCCGUUUCAUUCCUAUUCGUGGUUAUGAUGUUCAAUAUUCAAAUAGCGGAGAUUCAAGAAGAAGUAUUGCGCUAUUUACCAGUGAGUGGUAUUAUUGGACUGAUCUUUUGGUGGGAAAUGUUCUUCAUUUUAGAUAAUGAAACCAUUCCAUUACUACCAACCCAUAGAAAUACGACCUCUCUGAGAUAUACGGUUUAUGCCGGAAAGGUACGAAGUUGGACUAAUUUGGAAACAUUGGGCAAUUUACUUUAUACCUACUAUUCCGUCUGGUUUUUGGUUUCUAGUCUGAUUUUAUUAGUUGCUAUGAUUGGGGCUAUAGUACUUACUAUGCAUAGGACUACAAAGGUGAAAAGACAAGAUGUAUUCCGAUGA